rnacentral:rRNA from 1 species
UACGUAGGGUGCAAGCGUUUGUCCGGAAUUAUUGGGCGUAAAGAGCUCGUAGGCGGUGUGUCGCGUCGGCCGUGAAAACCUGCAGCUUAACUGUGGGCUUGCGGUCGAUACGGGCAUCACUGGAGUUCGGCAGGGGAGACUGGAAUUCCUGGUGUAGCGGUGAAAUGCGCAGAUAUCAGGAGGAACACCGGUGGCGAAGGCGGGUCUCUGGGCCGAUACUGACGCUGAGGAGCGAAAGCGUGGGGAGCGAACAGG